rnacentral:rRNA from 1 species
AGUGAACGCUGGCGGUAGGCCUAACACAUGCAAGUCGAACGGCAGCACAGUAAGAGCUUGCUCUUACGGGUGGCGAGUGGCGGACGGGUGAGGAAUACAUCGGAAUCUACUUUUUCGUGGGGGAUAACGUAGGGAAACUUACGCUAAUACCGCAUACGACCUACGGGUGAAAGCAGGGGAUCUUCGGACCUUGCGCGAUUGAAUGAGCCGAUGUCGGAUUAGCUAGUGGGCGGGGUAAAGGCCCACCAAGGCGACGAUCCGUAGCUGGUCUGAGAGGAUGAUCAGCCACACUGGAACUGAGACACGGUCCAGACUCCUACGGGAGGCAGCAGUGGGGAAUAUUGGACAAAGGGCGCAAGCCUGAUCCAGCCAUACCGCGUGGGUGAAGAAGGCCUUCGGGUUGUAAAGCCCUUUUGUUGGGAAAGAAAAGCAGCAGGUUAAUACCCCGCUGUUCUGACGGUACCCAAAGAAUAAGCACCGGCUAACUUCGUG